rnacentral:rRNA from 1 species
UACAGAGACUGCAAGCGUUAUUCGGAUUCACUGGGCGUAAAGGGUGCGCAGGCGGCCGGGUGUGUCAGAUGUGAAAUCCCGAGGCUCAACCUCGGAACUGCGUCUGAAACUACUUGGCUAGAGUACUGGAGAGGGUAACGGAAUUCACGGUGUAGCAGUGAAAUGCGUAGAUAUCGUGAGGAACACCAGAGGCGAAGGCGGUUACCUGGACAGUUACUGACGCUCAGGCACGAAAGCAUGGGGAGCAAAAGGG